rnacentral:rRNA from 1 species
AGCUCCAAUAGCGUAUAUUAAAGUUGCUGCAGUUAAAAAGCUCGUAGUUGCAUUUCCGAGGCAAGGGAUUAGUCCGACCUUUGGUGGGUAUUUAAUCCUCUUGCCUCGUCCUUGAGUGGUGCUUCUUGGUAUUAAGUUAUCGAGGAGAUAGCCGCUCAUCGUUUACUGUGAGAAAAUUAGAGUGUUCAAAGCAGGCUUAUGCCGUUGAAUAUAUUAGCAUGGAAUAAUAAGAUAGGACCUCGGUACUAUGUUGUUGGUUUGAGAACCAAGGUAAUGAUGAAUAGGGACAGUUGGGGGUAUUCGUAUUCAGUUGUCAGAGGUGAAAUUCUUAGAUUUACGGAAGACGAACUACUGCGAAAGCAUUUACCAAGGAUGUUUGCA